AGGUGCCAUUCUGAGGGCCAGGAGUUUGAUUAUGUGUCACUCUGGCUGCUAUGGCCCCCUCC
rnacentral:precursor_RNA from 1 species